rnacentral:lncRNA from 1 species
GCCUCCCUAUUUCCUGACACACAAAAAUACUGAAGUUAAGCCAAUGAAUAACCCUACAAUGGCCUCUAAGUGACCAAGUGAAAGGAAGAGUCACAUACCUGUCACUUUAAAUCAAAAGCUAGAAAUGAUUAAACUUGGUGAGGAAGGCAUGUCGAAGCUAAGAUAGGCCAAUAGCUAGGCCUCUUGCACCAAACCAUUAGCCAAGUUGUGAAUGCAAAAGAAAAGUUCUUGAAGGAAAUUUAAGGUACUAUUUCAGUAAACAAAUUAAUAAUAAGAAAGCAAAAGAGCCUUAUUGCUAAUGCAGAGAAAGUUUUAGUGGCCUGGAUAGAAGAUCAAACCAGCCACAACAUUCCCCUAAGACAAAGCCUAAUCCGGAGCAAGACCCUAACUCUCUUCAAUUUUAUGAAGGCUGAGAGAGAGGAAGAAGCUACAGAAGAAAACUUUCAAGUUGGUUCAUGAAGCUUAAGGAAAGAAUCCAUCUCUACGGCAUAAAAUUGCAAGGUGAAGCAGCAUGUGCUGAUGUAGAAGUUACAGCAAGUUAUCCAGAAGAUCUAGCUAAGAUCAUUGACAAAAGGUGGUUACAAUAAACAGAUCUAAAACCGUCUUAUAUCAAAAGAAAAUGCUAGGUAGGAUGUUCAUAGCUAGAGAACAGAAGUCAAUGCCUGGCUCCAAAGCUUCAAAGGACAGGCUGGCCCUCUUGUUAGGGGAGUAAUGCAGCUGGCGAUUUUAAUUUGAUGGCACCAUCCAUUUACCUUUCCAAAAAUCAUAGCCCCCUAAAUAAUUAUGCUAUAGAAAUCCUAUCUGUGCUAUAUAAGUUAAACAACAAAGCCUGGAUGACAACACAUCUGUUCACUUCAUGGUUUACUGAUCAUUAUAAGCCCAGUGCUGAGAUAUGCUUCUCAGAAAAGAAGAUUUCCUUCAAACUACUGUGCUCCUUGACAAUGCACCUGGUCACCCAAGAGCUCUGACGAAGUUGUAUAAGAAAAUUAAUUCUGUUUUCAUGCCUGCUAACCCAACACCCUUUCUGUAUUCCAAGGAUCAAGGAGUAAUUUUGACUUUCAAAUCUUAUUAGUUAAGAAAUAUAUUCAAUAAGGCUAUAGUUGCCAUAGACACAAAUAUUGAUUAGAUUCCUCCAAUGGAUUUGGGCAAAUUAAAUUGAAAAUCUCCUAGAAAGGAUUCAGUAUUCCGGAUGCCAUUAAGAACAUUUGUGAUUCAUCAGAGGAGGUCAAAAUAUCAACAUUAUCAGGAAUUUGGAAAAAGUGGAUUUCAACCCUCAUGGAUGACUUUGAUGAGGGGUUCAAGACUUCAGUGGAGGAAGUAACUACAGAUUUGAUAGAAAUAGCAAGAGAACUAAAAUUAGAAGUGGAACCUAAAGAUGUGACUGAAUUGCUGCAAUCACAUGGUAAAACUUGACUGGAUAAGGAAUUCCUUCUUAUGGAUAAGCAAAGAAAUUGGUGUUUUGAGAUGGAAUCCACUCUUGGUGAAGAUGCUGUGAACAUCGUUGAAAUGAUAACAAAGGACUGAGAAUAUUCUAGACACUUAAUUGAUAAAGCACUGGCAAGGUUUGAGAGGAUUGACUCCAACUUUGAAAGAAGUUCUACUGUGGGUAAAAUGCUAGGAAACAGCGUUGCGUGCUAUAGAGAAAUCUUUCAUGAAAGGAAGAGUCAAUCAAUGCUAAAACUUCAUUGUUGUCUUACUUUAAGAAAUCACCACAGCCACACCAGCCUUCAGCAACUGCCACCCUGAUCUGUCUGCAGCCAUAGAUAUUGAGGUGAGACCUUCCACCAGCAAAAACAUUACAACUGGAUGAAGGUUCGGAUAAUCUUUACCGAUAAAGUAUCUUUCAGUUAGGUGACCUGGAAGAGAACCUGCAAUAUCUCUGAGGUAUGCUCGUGUAUAAUACAAAAUUUAGGAGCUCUUGAAACCUUGUUAUUUUUGCAAAUAAUGACAAUAAUUAUACAUCGUAGAGCAAUUUGGUAGGUACAAUUUUUCCUAAUAUAAUAUGUAUCUGAAACCCAAUAAGUGGCACAAAGUGACAGACCUGAGAGAGAUGUCAGUAGUACAUGACAGGUCCAUCUCCAAAACUGAAUCCAAUCUAAGUAGAAAGGUAUUUCUGACAAAAUUCUGGAAGUUGAUUUUACCCCCACUGAGCAUGUAUUGUUGAAACUCAGUGACUUGCUUCAUGAAAUAGACUCUGAAAAUUCAUCAACUUUAGCAAUCAUUUGGCUGAUGGUGUUCAAGAAGUUACAUUUUUUUGUAAAGGAGAAUCACUCAUCUUUAACACUCAGACUCUUCCAAGUAAUAGUGAAAAAUUGAUAUUGAAAACGCUAGAGAAUUAGACAUGUUAUGAGCAUUAUCUACAAGCUCUAGUUUUCCUUGUGAAGCUGUUGGAAUGACUGUGGGCAUGGUGAAGAGAGAUGCAGGUAAGGCUAACUAGAUGUUAAUUGUUGAUGGGGGGAGUGGGGCGGGCUGAAGGAAGUCACUCAUCCUUCCUGGUACUCAAUUUCCUUCUUUGUAAACUAGAUUAGUGUUUCUCAGAUUUUUACAUUUCAUUAUCCAGUAGCAAUGUAAUAGGAUGCUAAAUAUAAUAGGGUUAUCAACUUUGAGUUUUGCCAACUAAGGACAUUAAAAAGUUGCCAUCUACUCUCACCAUAAUUUUAUAAAGGGUAGGAAACCUUAGCACCAAAAAAGUUAUUAAACCUAACUUUAGAAAAUCUUUCCACAAAGUUCUUUUUUUUUUUUUUUUUUUUUUUUUUUUUUUUUGACAUGGAGUUUUGCUUUUGUUGCCCAGACUGGAGUGAAAUGGUGCAAUCUCAUCUCACUGCAACUUCCGCCUUCCAGGUUUAAGGGGUUCUCCUGCCUCAGCCUCCUGAGUAGCAGGGAUUAAAGGCAUGCGCCAGCACUCCCACUAAUUUUUUGUAUUUUUAGUAGAGACAGGGUUUCUCCAGGUUGGUCAGGCUGGUCUUGAACUCCUGACCUCAGGUGAUUCGCUCACCUUGGCCUCCCAAAGUGCUGGGAUUGGAAGCAUGAGCCACCACGCCCAACCCUCUACAAAGUUCUUAUUUUUCUAGGACUUUAUCACUGACCCAGUGUGGGUCCUCGGAACAUCAUUUGGGAGUCCUGGAUAUUUACAGCCCUGAUUUUUAUACAUGUUAAUGGCUAUGGUCUGAAUGUUUAUUUCAGCCACCAAAAUUCAUAUGUUGAAAUCCUAGCCCUCAUGGCGAUGGUGUUGGGAGAUGGGGCCUUUGGGAGGUGAUUAAGUUAUGAGAGCAGAACCCUCAGGAAUGGGAUUAGUGCUCUUAUAAAAGAGGCCUAAUGUUUGCCCCUUUCAUCAUGUGAGGACACAGUGAGAAGGCACCAUCUAUGAACCAGGAAACAGGCCCUCACCAGUCACUGAGUCUGCUGGUGCCUUGAUCUUG